CCGAAAGGCAGGAGUGCCUGCAAGGGAGCGCGGAGACAGGUGGUGCAUGGCUGUCGUCAGCUCGUGUCGUGAGAUGUUGGGUUAAGUCCCGCAACGAGCGUAACCCUCACCUCUUGUUGCCAUCAGGUCAUGCUGGGCACUCUAGAGGAACUGCCCCGGUCAACGGGGAGGAAGGCGGGGAUGACGUCAAGUCAUCAUGCCCCUUACGUCCUGGGCUACACACGUGCUACAAUGGCCGGUACAAAGGGAUGCCACACCGCGAGGUAGAGCUAAACCCAAAAAGCCGGUCUAAGUUCGGAUUGGAGUCUGCAACUCGACUCCAUGAAGGAGGAAUCGCUAGUAAUCGCGUAUCAGCACGACGCGGUGAAUACGUUCCCGGGCCUUGUACACACCGCCCGUCACACCACGAAAGCCAG
rnacentral:rRNA from 1 species